CCUACGGGUGGCAGCAGUGGGGGAUAUUGCACAAUGGGGGAAACCCUGAUGCAGCGACGCCGCGUGGACGAAGAAGUCUUUCGGUAUGUAAAGCUCUAUUAACAGGGAAGAAUAGAUGACGGUACCUGAGUAAUAAGCACCGGCUAACUACGUGCCAGCAGCCGCGGUAAUACGUAGGUUGCAAGCGUUAUCCGGAUUUACUGGGUGUAAAGGGAGCGUAGGCGGGAGGGCAAGCCUGAUGUGAAAGCCUGCGGCUCAACCGCAGAACUGCAUUGGAAACUGCCGGGCUGGAGUGCCGGAGAGGCAGGCGGAAUUCCUAGUGUAGCGGUGAAAUGCGUAGAUAGUAGGAGGAACACCAGUGGCGAAGGCGGCCUACUGGACGGUAACUGACGCUGAGGCGCGAAAGCGUGGGGAGCAAACAGGAUUAGAUACCCUUGUAGUC
rnacentral:rRNA from 1 species